rnacentral:tRNA from 1 species
GCCUUCGUGGUGUAACGGUAGCACAUUCGGCUCAUUGGAGAGGUCCAGGUUAAAGUCCCGGCGAUGGCA